CCUACGGGCGGCAGCAGCUAAGAAUAUUCCGCAAUGGACGGAAGUCUGACGGAGCGACGCCGCGUGGAUGAAGAAGGCUGAAAAGUUGUAAAAUCCUUUUGCUGAUGAAGAAUAAGGGUAGGAGGGAAUGCCUAUCUGAUGACGGUAAUCGGCGAAUAAGCCCCGGCUAAUUACGUGCCAGCAGCCGCGGUAACACGUAAGGGGCGAGCGUUGUUCGGAAUUAUUGGGCGUAAAGGGCAUGUAGGCGGUUAUGUAAGCCUGAUGUGAAAUGCUGGGGCUCAACUCCAGAACUGCAUUGGGUACUGCAUAGCUUGAAUUACGGAAGGGAAACUGGAAUUCCAAGUGUAGGGGUGGAAUCUGUAGAUAUUUGGAAGAACACCGGUGGCGAAGGCGGGUUUCUGGCCGAUAAUUGACGCUGAGAUGCGAAAGUGUGGGGAUCGAACAGGAUUAGAUACCCGGGUAGUC
rnacentral:rRNA from 1 species